UACGGAGGGUGCGAGCGUUGUUCGGAAUCACUGGGCGUAAAGCGCGUGUAGGCGGCCCAUUAAGUCUGAUGUGAAAGCCCGGGGCUCACCCCCGGAAGUGCAUUGGAAACUGAUGGGCUGGAGUCCCGGAGAGGAGGGUGGAAUUCCUGGUGUAGCGGUGAAAUGCGUAGAGAUGUGGAGGAACACCGAUGGCGAAGGCAGCCCCCUGGGCUAACACUGACGCUCAUGCACGAAAGCGUGGGGAGCAAACAGG
rnacentral:rRNA from 1 species